ensembl:lncRNA
UGAUCUGCUGAAACUUGUCUUACAGAAAGUUACUUAAUAAAACUGAAGUUCAGAAAAGUAAGGAAUUCAUUCUUGCAUUGUCAAGACAAGUAAAAAAUGUUCAUUUUUCUCACAAGUUUCACUUCUAAUUUUAAAUCAAUAUCUAAUAAAGCAAAUUGUGUCAGAAAGUUUGAGAAAGUUCAGUCUGCAUUUUUUUUACUUCAAAGAGCAAUUACAGAGAAAGUAGACAUAAUAUGUAGUUUUAUUGCCAACAGAUAUGUCACUACACUCAAAAAAUUUAUUAUAACCCUAUUCUAUCACUCAUGCAUUUUUACUCUAUCUGUACAUUACUUGAUCAGCCAGAUAACUUAACACACUGUGCUGAACACUUAAAUAGACAAAAAUUAACAUGAAAUCACAGGGUAGCACAUAAGCAACACACAAACCCAAUUGAGUAAAUGAAAAUAAGUAGCUUCCAUAUUUCUGCUACAACUACAAGAAAAUGAAUCAAAACAAAGCUUGAGAUUCAUGAGUUGAAAAUACAGUGUCCUAUAACCUGCUUCUCCUGGAUCGGGAGAAAGAUAUUCUGAUCUUCUCAGCUUAUGUGAACACGAGCAUGACAGCUACUGUGACCCUGCUUUGCUAAACUCUGCCUGUAAGCUUCAAAAAAGAGAGCUGAAAAUCAAGCCAAAGCUUAUAUUGGGAUUCAUUCCUUUCUUAAAAAUAAACUAAAAAUGUUACUUUUAGAUCCAUUUAUUAAUGAUUGGUGAUGACAUUUAUUUCUAGCCUGGGAUCCGUACCUUAGCUGUUCAUCCCUCUGUUCAUGAGAGAGGAUUAAGUUUGUACCUAAGAGGGUAAACGUUAAACUUUUCAACUAUAUCGGAGAAUAUAAACUUUCUUAUCAUUUUUCAUAGUGGGCACUGAAAUUGUUCAAAUCUUGUUGCUUCUCUUUCAGGGAAAGCUCCAGAUUCAAGACAGAUGGAGUUUUAAGUGCACUAGUUUCCUGUGAUCAAGAAUUACUGUACAAGUUCAGCUCUCCUGUUUAAACAAAUACUCUUCUUUUUCAUAGGAACAGCAUAGCAAAAGCAUAAAGCACCUUCAAGAUUCAUUUUAAACUGUUAAAAUAACAAUGAUUUCUUGUGAAAAAAAAAUCAAUGCAUUCAAGAUUAUAAUGUAGUAUUAAUAAAGAUUUACUCUUUGAAUAAUCUGAUAUUUUUCUAUCUCAGUGAGGUGGUUUUGAAUAUUUGAACUAUUAAAAACUGUUAAAAGUUAACAUCUUAAAAAUAUGAAAUUAUAUUUGAAAUUUAAAAAGGGCUUCACACACAAAAAAAACACCUACAGUAGUGUGAUAUUCGGGAUAUCUGAAAAGCACUGAAAUCUCAAAGAGAAAGAAAAGUUUCCAUCCAACUCUCUCUUAAGCUUUAAAAAACCAUUAAUGAAAGUCCAAAGUCGAUAAAUUCUGUAAACCUAAGGCCAUGUAUGUUUUAUCUCUGUAAUACUUUAUCUUUUUUAUGAUAAUACAAAAGUAAAUUCUAGACAUACAGCAGUAUCUAUGGGCUGAUGUUUAAAAGUUCAAAUAGCAGAAGAAAGAUUUUUUCACUCUGUUGUCUCACAUGUAAAAUUCAGUUAUGUAUUAUUUACCUUCUUCCCAAAUGCACUCACUUCAAUAUGAAGAUUCCUCAGAGGACAAAUUCAUUUCUCUUUCUUCACUGCCAAAAUGUUUUUUUUUUUUUUUUCUCUGUACAGUUUUGAAACUUCUAUAAAAUUUAACAUAGUAAGAACCUCUGCUCGCAUUUUCUGUGGCUACCUUAUUUACAUGUGCCUUUUAAUAUAUUCAUGCUUUUUCCUUUACUCUUCAUCCUUUCAAACUAACUUUCCCUUCCUCUGUUCUGCUGAGUUCGCAUCAUUGUCCCAGUCAUGCAAGAAAACAGAAAGAUAUGGCUUAAUUAGACUUCAGCUUUAUUAAUUUAAUGUAUCUGGGGACUAUCCAGCAGCAAUUUCUACAAUCCAGGUCAUAAAUUUUUCAUUAAUUAUUUUCUCUUAUAGGAGGACUGCCAUCAGCAUCCAGUUGUUCUGGUAGCAGGUCUCAACAGAUGAACAACCAUCGCCUUUUGACAGUAAGGAAAUGUUGUCAUCGCACUAGGUAUAGAGAGCCCUGCUUCCAGAUGGCAGCAGAGGGGCAGUCUCACAAAAUAGCGUCUAACAUGGAAGUGUGUAUGAAGCAAAGGUGUGUCACUGAAUUCCUCCAUGCAGAAAAAGUGUCACAUGUUGACAUUCACUGACAUUUGCGGAGUGUCAGUGUCACUUGAUUGGAGACCAAGCAGUGGAUGGGAACACAGUGAGGCAAUGGGUGGUGCAUUUCAGCAGCGGCAACAGAAAGGUGAAAGACAAGCCAUGUUCAGGAUGGCCAUGAAGGUUUUUACGAGCGUGUAUGCAGCUUCCUGCUCAUCAGUGGCCAAAAUGCAUAGCUACUGCAGUGACUAUGUCGAAAUAUAGUAUUAUUGAGAAUUUUCUCUGCGAAACAGUGUUCUUGUGCUCUUUGUAGCUGUUGUAGCUUCCAUGGAAAUAAACAGGAGGCAUUACUCUCAGAUCAACCAAUAUUUAAAGCAUAUGAAAUAAAAUAUAUACCC